rnacentral:misc_RNA from 2 species
CCCAACUAUCCCUAUUAAUCAUUACGGUGAUCCUAGAAACCAACAAAAUAGAACCAUGCCGUCCUAUUUUAUUAUUCCAUGCUAAUCUAUUCAAGCACUAGCCUGCUUUAAGCACUCUAAUUUUUUCAAGGUAAUAGCUCUGCUUCCCCGGCGCACCAACUGAAUGGCAUACCGGUUAUUCAGAAGGUAGGAACCCAUCACCCCAGUACGGACCGUAAAGCCCGACCGACGGACAGACCCCGAAAUUCAACUACGAGCUUUUUAACUGCAACAACUUUAAUAUACGCUAUUGGAGCUGGAAUUACCGCGGCUGCUGGCACCAGACUUGCCCUCCAA